CUUGAAUACAUUAGCAUGGAAUAACGAAAUAGGACGUUUGAUUCUAUUUUGUUGGUUUCUUAGGAUCGACGUAAUGAUUAAUAGGGAUAGUUGGGGGCAUUAGUAUUCAAUUGUCAGAGGUGAAAUUCUUUGGAUUUAUUGAAGACUAACUACUGCGAAAGCAUUUGCCAAGGAUGUUUUCAUUAAUCAAGAACGAAAGUUAGGGGAUCGAAGACGAUCAGAUACCGUCGUAGUCUUAACCAUAAACUAUGCCGACUAGGGAUCGGAUGAUGUUAAUUUUUUAAUGACUCAUUCGGCGCCUUACG
rnacentral:rRNA from 1 species